GGGGAUGACGGGCAUCGAUGAAAGUUUUCCUCUUUAAUACGCAAGUUCCCGCGUAACGGGACUAAACAUUACACAAACACAACUGCUAAACCUAAUUUAGCUUUUGCUACUGCUUAAAGUCAGUAGCCAUCCAAACUCUUAAUUCCUGAUAGGGAGUACGGGUGUUAUUUUUUCAGGAUAGAUAAUUAGUUUUGUCUCUGGCUAAUUAUUAAAAACCUUGAGACGAGAAUUAAGAAUAUUUUGCUUGGCUUUUAGUUCUUCUUUCUCUAAUUUAAACCAAGCUAAACUUGUAGAAUUAUUAAAGAAUAACUUUUAGACGAGGGUUCAACUCCCUCCGUCUCCACCA
rnacentral:tmRNA from 1 species